AAGUCGUAACAAGGUUUCCGUAGGUGAACCUGCGGAAGGAUCAUUAUCGAGUUUUGUAGUGGGUUGCUUGAGCUGGCAUUGCAGGUGCUCGGCGACUUCACUCUCUCAUCCAUUAAACCCCUUGUGCACUAUGAAGCGAGGUUGAAUCGAGUUGUAAUGACUCUGAGGAGACUAAGCUUUCUUUAUAUAAACUCAUUUAUUGUCUUGGAGAAUGUGAUAGCCCUCUUUAUGGGCGAAAAAGUUAAUACAACUUUCAACAACGGAUCUCUUGGCUCUC
rnacentral:misc_RNA from 1 species